ACGAACGCUGGCGGCAUGCCUAACACAUGCAAGUCGAACGAGACCUUCGGGUCUAGUGGCGCACGGGUGCGUAACGCGUGGGAACCUGCCCUUAGGUUCGGAAUAACUCCCCGAAAGGGGUGCUAAUACCGGAUAAUGUCUUCGGACCAAAGAUUUAUCGCCUUUGGAUGGGCCCGCGUUGGAUUAGCUAGUUGGUAGGGUAAAAGCCUACCAAGGCGACGAUCCAUAGCUGGUCUGAGAGGAUGAUCAGCCACACUGGGACUGAGACACGGCCCAGACUCCUACGGGAGGCAGCAGUGGGGAAUAUUGGACAAUGGGCGAAAGCCUGAUCCAGCAAUGCCGCGUGAGUGAUGAAGGCCUUAGGGUUGUAAAGCUCUUUUACCCGGGAUGAUAAUGACAGUACCAGGAGAAUAAGCUCCGGCUAACUCCGUG
rnacentral:rRNA from 1 species